CAUCAGAAAGAGAUGUGUUAAAAGAGAGUAGAAGAGAUGAGGCAGAAGGUGAACCAGGGAGAUUCAAAAUGUAGGAAGGACUCGGACUAUCACUGCAGCGUUUGAUGGUGGGAGAAGGAACUUACAAGCCAAGGAAUGCGGGUAACCUUGAGAAGCUGAGAACAACCCAAUGAGGACAUGGGGAACCUCAGUCCUACACUGCAUACAACUGAAUUCUGCCAACAUCCUGAGCGAGCCUGGGAGCCGAUUCUUCCCUCAGAACCUCCUGAACAGAACAUAGCCUUGCUGACGUCUUUAUUCCGGGCUUGUGAUGCUCUAAGCAAAGUAUCCAGUCAAGUCUGCUGGACGUCUGACCUACAAACAGCACCUGGAGUCAGUCCUAGCAGCAGCCCCGCUCUGACCAUACCCGCUGAAGCAUGGCUUGCCAAGCGGUGCCGUGUCCGCGCCCGGGAUCCAAAGCGGCGAACCCGGGGUCGCCAAGAAUCAGAACGUGCGAACUUAACCACUGCGCCACCAGGCCAGCCCCCUCAUGGUGUUUCUUAAUAAAGGUAUGCAACAAAUUGUAAGGAAUAACCCAACAAGUCCUUAUGGACCCUGCCAUCCCACUUCGUCACCCACAUGGAUAAAGUCCUCUUCUGUCGUCCUCGCCCAUCACACCCUCUCCCUGCCCAUGCUCUUCUUAUGACUCAUGGGGUUUCCAGGGUCCAUUAAUGUUAAUAUAUAUACUUGUAAUUCAAAUAAUCUAUGAUUUUUUUAAAGUGUCA
rnacentral:lncRNA from 1 species